UACGAGGGGGGCGAGCGUUGUUCGGAAUCACUGGGCGUAAAGCGUGCGUAGGCGGUUAUAAAAGUUAGGAGUGAAAGCCCUGGGCUCAACCUAGGAAUUGCUCUUAAUACUGUAUAACUCGAAUUCGGGAGAGGAUAGCGGAAUUGUCAGUGUAGCAGUGAAAUGCGUAGAUAUUGACAGGAACACCGGUGGCGUAAGCGGCUAUCUGGACCGACAUUGACGCUGAGGCACGAAAGCGUGGGGAUCAAACAGG
rnacentral:rRNA from 1 species